AUGUCACUCUCCAGUCUGCUCUGGGGGUUCCUGGCCAUCGCCUUCUCUGGAUCUUGUGUGGCCCAAAAAGUUACUCAAGACCAGUCAGACAUAAUCAGCCAAGUGGGGCAGUCAGUCAUUUUUAACUGUCAGUAUGGAAUAGGUUGGUUCACAUACUACUACUCCAUUUAUUGGUACAAGCAGCUUCCCAGGGGACAGAUGACUCUCCUUAUUCAUCAAAAUUCAGAACACGGGAAUGCAGGUUAUGGCCGCUACUCUGUAAACUUCCAGAAAGCAUAUAAAUCCAUCAGCCUCACCAUUUCAGCGUUACAGCUGGAAGACUCAGCAAAGUACGUUUGUGCUCUUAGGGAGCUCUCAAGUAAAAGAACAGUUACAAAGGAAGUUCACAGUGCUUAA